UGGGACUCAUCCUUCUUCCCUAUUCCUUUCACUUCUCUCGAUAAUCCUAAAACAUAGCGUUAGAUCUGUUUUUCCAGUCAUGACAAUCUCACCUACGAAUGGUCCAAGGCCCGAAUGCAAUCAUCCCCAAAACGAUUCAUCAAUCUUCUUCAUCUGAUUUCACCCACGCAUCCUCUCUAGAUUACGAUCGCUGUGUGAUUCGUUACUCACAGCACGAAGCAUAAGGUGACAGAAAGGUAUAUCCGCCAUCGUUCCUUCAUCACACACACACUGUAAAUCACAUGAAUAAGAAACCAUGUUUAUGACAUAUCUACCACUGAUUAUGUGUAAUUUCAUGAAAUUACAUUUGCAUAACGAGAUUUAUCUCAAUUGGAGGCAGCGAGUUCACGAAUAACCGAGAUGAACGUAAUCGCAAGUGUUUCAGAAGGAAAGCUUAGUUAUGUUUGAAGUUCGAUCCCAAACCGUGGUACUUUGCAAAUUAAAAUCGAUACGUUGUACUUUGAUAACCAUAACUGCAGAUCUUGUGCAUAACGAGACGUGUUUUUGUCAUAUCUAAUUUAAAUUAGUCGUAAUUUCAUGGAAUUACUUGAGCAAAAACAAGGUUAUAUCUCAAUUUGAGGUACGUAGUUCAGGAAUACGUGAGUUGAAUGUGAUCGGAAAUCUCACAAGUGUUUCAGAAGGAAAUAUUGAGUACCUAAGUUCUAUGGAUACUUAGUAAUUAGCAACUUCGAUGUUGAUAACGUUGUACCUAUAAGCUAUAACCUUUUUGAGAUAAAAACGGAGAGAAUGUAUCUCUAGUAAACUGAACUUUGUUCUCACGGUUGAUGAAUGCAAAGAUGAAAAGAAGAGAAUGGAUAUUGAAUUUUGUUACACAAUAUUACAUAUGAUAGGAUAGUACACGAUGGUACUAAUGAUCACAUAGAAUGAUGCUGCUUUCCCACUAUUCCUGAAUAGCCAAAUUUUUCAUAACAGAUAUCUAUUAUGAAAGCUGAGAUCUUAGCUGUGUGUCCAGGUCAUCAUCCUCUCUGUCAAUGAGUGAUGACACAUCAAUUCCAUUCAUUUUAACAUGCCCCUUGAAGAUAUGAUGUGGUGAAUGAAUAGCAUCAAGCUUUCUUGGAAUUGAGCAAUUUGUCAAUGGCUUUGUAAGGAUGUCUGUUCUGAUUUUCUCUUUAUUAAACAUUUCUGGAAGCAACUUUUCUUCCAAUUAUCUGAGCUUCAUGUUUGUUUUACAUUGGACGAUUACAGGUGCAUGGAGCUUCCAAAUUACAUAGCUGUAUUUCUUCAGGUACAAAUUUCACCCUUAAUUACAACUUGGAAAAGAAAACCUUUUUUAUUAUGAUGAUGAUUAUUAGUAAUGUUUUGAACUUAACAUGCCUUAUAAAUUACUGUUCAAUUUGUAAUGCAAGUAUAGAAAUUGCAUAAUAAACUUGUUUUGCUCUUAUUCUCUCGUUUGGAAAUGAACCAGUAGAUGGAGAAGUUGCAGACAGAUAAUACCAAUUAACAAUGUUAUGAUAGUUUCAUAAAUAUAAACCUGUAUACAUAAUUGUAAUAACUAAUAUUUAAAUUUUACAAAUAAUCAUGCCAAAUAACCCUAUACUUAUAAAGAAUGACAAUUCACCCCUCCCCAGGGGACUUAUUCCAUCCAGAUCGUUACCAAAUCCACCUUCGUAUUAGUCGUACAUAGUCUAAAAACGGUUUAUCUGGCACUGGUAUCAACUUCACAAACCAACCAAUAGGCCAUGACAACGCUGCAAUCGCU
rnacentral:lncRNA from 1 species